GGUCCGUUGGUCAAGGGGUUAAGAACACCGCCUUUUCACGGCGGUAACACGGGUUCGAAUCCCGUACGGGACU
rnacentral:tRNA from 1 species